AUUGAACGCUGGCGGUAUGCCUUACACAUGCAAGUCGAACGGCAGCAUGAUCUAGCUUGCUAGAUUGAUGGCGAGUGGCGAACGGGUGAGUAAUACAUCGGAACGUGCCCUGUAGUGGGGGAUAACUAGUCGAAAGAUUAGCUAAUACCGCAUACGACCUGAGGGUGAAAGUGGGGGACCGCAAGGCCUCAUGCUAUAGGAGCGGCCGAUGUCUGAUUAGCUAGUUGGUGAGGUAAAGGCUCACCAAGGCGACGAUCAGUAGCUGGUCUGAGAGGACGAUCAGCCACACUGGGACUGAGACACGGCCCAGACUCCUACGGGAGGCAGCAGUGGGGAAUUUUGGACAAUGGGCGAAAGCCUGAUCCAGCAAUGCCGCGUGUGUGAAGAAGGCCUACGGGUUGUAAAGCACUUUUGUCCGGAAAGAAAUGGCUCUGGUUAAUACCUGGGGUCGAUGACGGUACCGGAAGAAUAAGGACCGGCUAACUACGUG
rnacentral:rRNA from 1 species